CAAUAGCGUAUAUUAAAGUUGUUGCAGUUAAAAAGCUCGUAGUUGGAUUUCUGGUCGGAAGCUCCUGUCCUCUGAUGAGCGUACAAGUGCGUCCUACCAUCCUUCUGUUAACCUUUAAGGCUUUCGCGGCUUUCUAGGGGCUCAGAUAUUUUACCUUGAGAAAAUUAGAGUGUUUCAGGCAGGCUAGCGCCGGAAUACAUUAGCAUGGAAUAAUGGAAUAGGACUUUUGCCUCUUCUGUUGGUCAUGAGGCUCGAGUAAUGAUUAAUAGGGGUAGUUGGGGGCAUUAGUACUUAACUGUCAGAGGUGAAAUUCUCGGAUUUGUUAAAGACUAACUUAUGCGAAAGCAUUUGCCAAGGAUGUUUUCAUUAA
rnacentral:rRNA from 1 species